GCGUAUAUUAAAGUUGUUGCAGUUAAAAAGCUCGUAGUUGAAUUUCGGGGUCAGCAGGUUGGUCGUGCCACUGGUAUGAACUGGUCUCGCUGAUUCCUCCUUUCUGAAGAACUGUAAUGUCAUUAAUUUGGUGUUGCAGGGAAACAGGACUGUUACUUUGAAAAAAUUAGAGUGUUUAAAGCAGGCUAACGCUUGAAUACAUUAGCAUGGAAUAAUGAAAUAGGACGUUCAAACCUAUUUUGUUGGUUUCUAGGAUUGACGUAAUGGUUAAUAGGGAUAGUUGGGGGCAUUAGUAUUCAAUUGUCAGAGGUGAAAUUCUUGGAUUUAUUGAAGACUAACUACUGCGAAAGCAUUUGCCAAGGAUGUUUUCAUUAAUCAAGAACGAAAGUUAGGGGAUCGAAGACGAUCAGAUACCGUCGUAGUCUUAACCAUAAA
rnacentral:rRNA from 1 species